GCACAAGCGGUGAGCAUGUGGUUUAAUUCGAUGCAACGCGAAGAACCUUACCUGGGCUUGACAUCCCGGGAAUCCCCUGGAAACAGGGAGUGCCCUUGGGAACCCGGUGACAGGUGCUGCAUGGCUGUCGUCAGCUCGUGUCGUGAGAUGUUGGGUUAAGUCCCGCAACGAGCGCAACCCUUGUCUUUAAUUGCCAUCAUUUAGUUGGGCACUUUAAAGAGACUGCCGGUGUUAAGCCGGAGGAAGGUGGGAUGACGUCAAGUCCUCAUGGCCUUUAUGCCCAGGGCUACACACGUGCUACAAUGGGCGGUACAAAGAGAAGCAACCUCGCGAGGGUGAGCAAAUCUCAAAAAGCCAUCCUCAGUUCGGAUUGGAGUCUGCAACUCGACUCCAUGAAGUUGGAAUCGCUAGUAAUCGCGCAUCAGCAUGGCGCGGUGAAUACGUUCCCGGGCCUU
rnacentral:rRNA from 1 species